UCCUUGCUUUCCUCUCUACUCUGUGCAGUGCUGGCUUAGAGAUGUCAAUGGGGACCCGAUACCCGCUAACCCGUGGGGAAUUCCCCUAUUAGGGUACGGGUAUGAGACAAAAAUUAUCUCCAUAGGUAUGGAUAUGGGACAGAAUCUCCACUCAUUGGGUAAACGGGUAUGAGUUUGGUAAGCAAUAAUCCGAACCCGAUUACCCAUGAAUAUUUCAUACGUAUACACAUGUCCUAUUUAUAUGAAUGAGUUGAGGCCGAGUCGGCCAUCAAGCCCAGCAGACUCCAUUUCUUAUAUUGGUCCUGACGUACUGAUUUUUUCUGAUGGAUAGAUGAAUGGAUCAUGGUUCAUAGAUGAGUGCUUGUCGAUGUGGUGAUAUAUGAAAUCUGGAUAGUUUGUGCUAGAUGUUAGUACCCGAUUAUCCCUUAAUUGGGGAUGGGGACCCAUUGGGGACUCGAAACCCGAAUAGGGAUAGGUAUGAGAUGAGUUUUGUACCCAUGAUAGAUAUGAGUAUGAGUACGAGGAUGGAUCAAAUAUGAUGGGGAUGAGUUUGGUAUGCUAUAACCCGGUGGGGAAUUCCCCAUUGACAUCUCUGCUGGGCUUGGAUCUGUCUCCCAGUCCAUACGGCGCCUCUGCACCAGCAAGCACAGUAGCGGCGAGGCGGGGCGCCGCCGUCUUCUACUCUACCUGGCCCGGCCGGCCGCCGUGCAGGCGCACCGAUCCAAUCCUCGGAGCUGGCGGAGUCUCCGGCCGCCCGGCGCCCGAUGCUGCCCGCCACCCGAGGCAGCAAGCCACCGCAGAGGUCCGCCGCCAGAUCCUGCUCCGCCUCCUUAGUCCUUAUCAGAAGUCAUGGACCUGUCGUCGGACCCGAAGCGCAAGCCGCGCUGCCUCAGCAAGGUGGUCAUGCUCGCGCUCCUCAUGAGCUAAGCUACAGCUCAUGAUGAAAUAAACAUUGCCAAGGAAGCUUCUCUGAAAACAUAUUAGGUUGAUGGCAGCAUGCUAAAGCAGAAAAGAAAAUACUAAGUUUUACCUAUAGCACAUACUACCAUGAUGGCCAGGGUUUAUCCUCUUAGCAAUCUCGGACCAGGAAGGCCCGAAGCCUCGAACUCAGAUAACAUGGAAACUUCUUCAGGCCGCUAGUCAUCAAAAUAUAAAUCUGGAUCAAGAAUAUUGGUCGCUCUGCCAAGGACCGCUAGAAUAUGGUAUCCACUGCUCUGGCUCCACGCCUCCGCUGCGGCAUUCUCCACUGCUCUCUUCUUCUCCAACUCCGGUGGCCGGCACGACCGCAACACAGCUCAUUCCCUCAAAUCCGUGAUCGACUGUGCCUUGAUUUGGUUACAUGAACUGGCAAGAAAAAAAAUCUUAUAUUUCUAUAUUACAAAGCCGGUUCAAAACGGCAUCUAUGAGACUAUCCACGUCGCUCCAAAAAUCGUGGCCGUUCAAUGGUGGAUCGUCCACCUGCUCUCUCGUGCGCCAGCGUAUCAACGUCAUCGCAAUUUCUCUGAGCCGCUCGAUCUCCCAGCAACAGACACAGAUCGCCCAGUAGCAUCUUCCUCUAGACUCUUCUUCCUCGCCUUUGACCGGUCUCCUCGUCACGCGAUGCUUCCAGGAGGAUCUCUACUUCACCCAGAUUUCCAGGCUCCCAUCCCAUCCUCACCUCCGACACUACGCCUCGUACCUCGUGCCCACCGCCACCAACUUUGCUCCCGAUGCUCCGCGGCUUCGCCUUGGCACGCGUCGGUCGUGCCCGCGGCCUCGCUCCUCCACUAGCAUAGCUGCAUAGGCACAGGUGAACCCGCACAACGACAUAGGCGGCGCUCCGCGCCUGGCUCCUAUCGGCUACCGCCACGCCUGGCUUUGCCUCGGCACGCGCCGAGUCGUGCCUUAGCCCCCAACCCCCCUCUUGCACAGGAUUAGUCGUCUUGUAUCUUCAACAUUACGAAGUGAUGAUGGCCUUCUUUUCCUGAAAGGAUGAUGACUAUCUUGCUCCUCUCCAAGCUGAUCAAGAAAAAGAGUUGAAGCUUGUGCAGUAGGUUGAACUCCAUAGGGUAGAGGAAGCUGCAGUAAGAGAGGCUGCUCUUGAACAUCAAAAGAAAGAAAAGAAGCUAAAAAAGAACAUGAGGAAGAGGUAGUUCACUUAGUACUAUCAAGGUUCGGUAGUAGGAAACGGGUGACGCCUAAGAGGGGGGGGUGAAUUAGGACUUCCAAAACUUUUACUAAACUAGGCCACAAUUAAAUCCCUAAAGCAAAACCUUUGCAAGUAAUCAAA